UACAGAGGGUGCGAGCGUUGUUCGGAAUUAUUGGGCGUAAAGCGCGUGUAGGCGGUAAUGUGUGUCGGGUGUGAAAGCCCUCAGCUUAACUGAGGAAGUGCGCCGAAACUACAUUGCUAGAGUGCCGGAGAGGGUGGCGGAAUUCCCGGUGUAGAGGUGAAAUUCGUAGAUAUCGGGAGGAACACCAGUGGCGAAGGCGGCCACCUGGACGGACACUGACGCUGAGACGCGAAAGCGUGGGGAGCAAACAGG
rnacentral:rRNA from 1 species